rnacentral:rRNA from 1 species
CUACGGGUUGCUGCAGUAAGGAAUAUUGCGCAAUGGAGGCAACUCUGACGCAGCCAUGCCGCGUGCAGGAAGAAGGCCUUAUGGGUCGUAAACUGCUUUUAUUUAGGAAUAAACCCCCGAACGUGUUCGGGGCUGAAGGUACUAAACGAAUAAGCACCGGCUAACUCCGUGCCAGCAGCCGCGGUAAUACGGAGGGUGCAAGCGUUAUCCGGAUUUAUUGGGUUUAAAGGGUGCGCAGGCGGGCUAUUAAGUCAGUGGUGAAAUCCCGGGGCUCAACUCCGGAACUGCCAUUGAUACUGAUAGUCUUGGUUUUGGUUGAAGUGGCGGAAUGUAGCAUGUAGCGGUGAAAUGCAUAGAUAUGCUACAGAACACCAAUCGCGAAGGCAGCUCACUAAGCCAAAACUGACGCUCAUGCACGAAAGCGUGGGGAUCAAACAGGAUUAGAUACCCGGGUAGUC